GCGGCAAGUGGAGGUCCCACCGAGAUCUGAGGAAAGGAGGUGCUGAUAAACCUAUCUGGAUUCCUGAAAGAUAUUGUCAAACGAUCAACCCCCUGGAAGACCAUGGAACAUCUCAACAAAAUAACAAAGGUGAAGAUCCUCAUCCUUCUGACACAGACAUGGAGCAUACAGGGUAAUGUAACUGUUUGAAGUCUAGUAAAAAAUCCUCCCAUAUUAAUGGCAGUUGGAUUGCAAAGUUCAUUAUUUCCAUCCCUACAUGUCACUAACUAUACGCUAGGACGGCCCGCUAGCAAUGUCUGAAUUCAACAACAAUCAAUCAAUACUACAUUUUCCCUUGUAGAAACA